rnacentral:rRNA from 1 species
UACGUAGGGGGCGAGCGUUAUCCGGAAUUAUUGGGUGUAAAGCGCGCGCAGGCGGCCGAUUAAGUCAGGUGUGAAAGGCUGCGGCUCAACCGCAGAGCGGCACCUGAAACUGGUCGGCUUGAGUGCAGGAGAGGGGAGCGGAAUUCCCGGUGUAGCGGUGGAAUGCGUAGAGAUCGGGAGGAACACCAGUGGCGAAGGCGGCUCUCUGGCUUGUAACUGACGCUGAGGCGCGAAAGCGUGGGGAGCAAACAGG